GGCGAACGCUGGCGGCGUGCCUAAUACAUGCAAGUUGAGCGCUGAAGGUUGGUACUUGUACCGACUGGAUGAGCAGCGAACGGGUGAGUAACGCGUGGGGAAUCUGCCUUUGAGCGGGGGACAACAUUUGGAAACGAAUGCUAAUACCGCAUAAAAACUUUAAACACAAGUUUUAAGUUUGAAAGAUGCAAUUGCAUCACUCAAAGAUGAUCCCGCGUUGUAUUAGCUAGUUGGUGAGGUAAAGGCUCACCAAGGCGAUGAUACAUAGCCGACCUGAGAGGGUGAUCGGCCACAUUGGGACUGAGACACGGCCCAAACGCCUACGGGAGGCAGCAGGAGGGAAUCUUCGGCAAUGGACGAAAGUCUGACCGAGCAACGCCGAGUGAGUGAAGAAGGUUGUCGGAUCGGAAAACUCUGUUGGUAGAGAAGAACGUUGGUGAGAGUGGAAAGCUCAUCAAGUGACGGUAACUACCCAGAAAGGGACGGCUAACUACGUG
rnacentral:rRNA from 1 species